CCUAUCGUGGUGUAAUGGUCAGCACAAUGAGCCGGUAUUUCAGAGGUCCGUGGUUCGAUCCCCGGCGAAGGCA
rfam:Stegodyphus mimosarum contig86952, whole genome shotgun sequence.